UACAGAGGUCUCGAGCGUUAGGCGGAAUCACUGGGCUUAAAGCGUGUGUAGGUGGAUGCCUAAGUACCUUGUGAAAUCCCCCGGCUCAACCGGGGAACGGCUGGGUAUACUGGCGGUCUUGAGAGACCUAGGGGCGAGCGGAACAAGCGGUGGAGCGGUGAAAUGCGUAGAUAUCGCUUGGAACGCCGACGGUGAAAACAGCUCGCUGGGGGUCUUCUGACGCUGAGACACGAAAGCCAGGGGAGCGAACGGG
rnacentral:rRNA from 1 species